rnacentral:ncRNA from 2 species
GAAUGGCUUUGGGGGUGUCCAAAAUAAGGACUGAGAUUUAUACCCUUUGAACCUGAAACAGUUGGUACUGUCGUAGGAAAAAGCGUGCGCGAUCGU